CGGGAAUUAGCUCAGCUUGGUAGAGCACUUGGUUUGGGACCAAGGGGUCGUAGGUUCGAAUCCUAUAUUCCCGA
rnacentral:tRNA from 2 species